AAUUUCCUCCCAUUUAAUUCAAGCCCACAUCAUGGGCCGAUUAAAAAGUCUCGAGCCCAGACAUGAGGAGAAGUGUUAAAUAUAAAAAUAUUUAAACACCGUUUUCUAACAGCUUAAAUUUUUAGAGUAUAUCGAUUGUUUCACACCUAUCUCAUCUAUCACACAUGUGAAUACAAGUGUUAAUAUAUUUUUCCUACCCGUUUUUUAUUAAAUAGAUAUUUUAAGUAGCAAGAGCCAUUUAAUUUACUAGUUUAGCCUAGUCGAAUAGUGUACUGACAACUAUUCCGUAAAAGCGCCAUCAUAACUACGCAUCUCAUUUUUUUUCAUUUCAUCAGUACCCUAGAGCUAAUCUAAAGUUAUGAUUUAUGAGUUAUAGAUUUUUUUUUUUUUUUUUUUUUUUUUAAAUGUAAGAUGUGCAGUCAACAUGACAGUUUAUUGAUUUUUUUUUUGUUUUUGUUUUGAGAGAGAUAGAUAGCACGCUAUCUGUUUCGUUUAUUUCAUUUAGAAAUAAACUUAACUUGAAAUGUGAAUCAACUAGAAUGUGAAUUCGGGUCUCGGGUACCAACCACUAAGCCCUUUACCAUUUGUCCUAGGAACAGUCGGUAAUAAUUUGUUAUUGUACCCUUCUACGGAACUAAACUUUUGUAUUGUGAAAUGACACAAGACGUUAUUUUGUGUAACAGAAGCAAUACCUUUGGAAAGUGAGAAGAAAAGGGUAAUGGUAUUGCCUAUCUUGAUACUGUGUUAAGAAAAAUAGUCCUAUGUAUGUACAUAUGAAAUGGAUGGUUAUCUCAACUUAGUUUAAAUUUUUGGAUUGGUUCAUGCUCUUUAAGGUGAUACAGAGUUUGGUUCAUUCCCUAAUUCCUAGCUGGUCCAGUGAUUGCGUGGUAAUCGCGUCUAGCACGUGAAUGCAUACUAAUCAUGCCUAAUAUGUGAUUAAGUUUGUAUCAUAUAAUAGUUGUGAAUUGGCACGUGAACUUUGUAUAAUUACAUUGGAUCUGCAUCAGAUACUAGUGGUGCCUAACACGUGUCAAUCGGGUGUGUUAAGAAUAAUAGGUUCAUAUUUAGUAUAAAAAUGAAAUCUUUAUCUGUAUAUAGAAUGUGCUAGGUAUCUUUACCUAUUAGCUUAAAAUUUUGAAUUAAUUCAAUCUUUUUAAGAAAUCAAAGCAGAAUGAAUGCCCAGUGAUUAGAUUGCAUGAACAGGGAGCAGAGCCUACCACAUCAUAACUUGUGUAAAUUUUUUAUGACAUAAUUUUUAAUGUCCGUGAUCUUUGGACUGAAACCGCUAAAAUCACCGACGCAGCGUCGCGAACUAAAGGACUAACCUGCCUAACAGGAACUUAGUGGGUCGUUUGGACGGAAAGGAAUCACAUCAUUUUUCGGAAAAAGUUACACAAUGCUAUACAGUCUUCAGUAAGGCUAGAGGUCUUGUUACGUGACUGGUCCGAGCACCUCUGAUUCGCCUGGGUUCUAUGUUUCCACGCCUGACUCUCACGUCUUCUCUACUAAUGUUCUAGUUUUCUUUCUCUUUCUCGUUCUCCUUGUUGUCUUUCUUUUCCUACUUUCUUCGGAAGCCCGAGCUGCUUUCAUUUUGUACCGCUUAGUUUAUUUCUUUAAUGAAUGAAGUAGGUAUCUUGCUACCUAAUUCUUAAAAAAGAUAUAAUUUUUAAUGUCUAGAUUUUAUCCACUUCUCCUUUAGGAGAGUAAAUUGCACAUACUCAAAAAGAAAAAGAAAAAAAAAAGAAAGGAGCUCAAGACAUCAUUCUUAACAAACUAUCAGCAUUGAAGAGACAAAAGGGGUUUAUAUACAUCAAGUGCUUUUGCAUCAAAGGAAAGAGAAGGAAAGAGAAGGAAAGAGUGACAAAUUUUAGGCAGAGGAGGAAAUGUUAGGAAAAGUAAAAAAAGAAGGGAAAAAAAAAAAAGAAAAAGAAAAAAAGAAAAAAAGAAAAAGGAGAAUGAGUUCCGCUUCUCCAGCUAUAUUUGGUUAACAAGAAACACAAGUCACCUAUGCCACCCUGUUUCUGAACAAACCCAACAUUCCAAAAUAGGAAAAGCCAGCCCACAUCUGCGCACAGAUCCGCGAUCUUCCUCCCCCUCUCAAGUCACUUUAACAGAUAUAAAUUAUUAUUGAUAGAACAGAUACAUUAAAUACUAAUUUAUUAAUAUAUCUGCAUUAUCAAUAAUAAUUUCAGCUCUAUUAAUUUUACUGUCUGUUUUUUCUCUUUCGCUCAAUUUACUUCUUCUCGAACUGUCCGAGCCUGUUAUCAGCUAGCCUUGAAUUGUACGCAGCUUUCUUGUACUCACCCCAUGUGAACUCCUUGUACAGGCUCUGCUCCCCCUCUCUCAUGAGCUGCGGCAGCGGCGCGAUCCUCUGCGACAAGGGCGGCCCUCCGAAGAAGAUCAUGGAGACCCGGGACUUCAGUCCGUCGGCCAAGACCCUGUGCCUCACGCUCCGGAACCGUCCGUUCGUCAUAACCUGCGAGCCAUCACGGUAAAAUUUUAUAACAGUCCACUCAUUCGAGAAGUAAAAGUCAAACGUUAUAUGAAAAUAUCUUUUAAGUUUGGAAUUAUACAUGUACCUGCAGUGCGUCACCAACAUUGAUGAAGAAGGAGUCGCGGUCGGAGGGGACGGCGACCCACCGGCCGUCCCGGAGCGCGAUCUGGAGGCCGGCGGUGUUGUUGGACCGCAGCAGCGAAAGGAUCUGGGGGUCGGUGUGCUCGCCGAAGCCGGUGAGGCUGCAGCCGAAGCCGUUGAGCAGGGGGCACGGCGGGUAGUGGUUCACCCUAAAAAACUGAUCGCUGUCCUCGUCGGUUAUCAGCCGGCUGAACGCAUUCCUCGGCUCGAUUUUCAGCCCCUCCGCCAUUCGCUCCAGCACGUCGCACGCCAGCUUCUCGACCGCCGCCACGUACUCGCCCAACGCCGACCUGCAGCCGCACGCCAAAUAUCUCCCUCGUCAGUUGCGCGACGGCUGCAAAUUAAUAAUAUAUAUCUACACAAAGCAUGUCGGAAUAUAUUGCAUGCCGCCGCUCACCGGAACGCGAGGGAGGAGGAUUCCCGGAGGAAGGCAAUGGAGGAGGGGCUGCCGGCCGAGGCGCUGCCGAUCGCGAGGAGGAGGUACUCCAGCCAGCCGACGUCGCCGUUCGCGCGGGCCCGACUGCUCCUUCUCGGCCGGCGGUAAGGCGAAGAACUCCACCGCCACGGCCUCCAGCCGGUCGAUGAGCUCCGCGGCGAUCCCGUGAUUGGUGACCUUGAAGAACCCGAACUCCUCGCAGGCGCCGACGACCGCCUCGGCAGAGCCGGGCGCCGCGAGGUCCACGACGGGGAUCGCCGAGAAGUAAGGGGUCGGCUUCGGGGACCGGACGACGGAUAUCUGGUCGGCGCCGGGCUCGGCUAAGACCACCAUGGCUUUCUUAGCAGGAGAAUUGGAGAUGGAAGGGAGGGGAGGAGAGCACUACAAGAUGUUGCUGAUCUUGUUGUAUUGGGUGUAAGAGAGAAAUGCAUGUGAGGAGAGGGGGGGGUGUAUUUGAAGGUAUAUAUAAAGAGAGAGAGAGAGAGAGGGCCACAUGUCUAAAAGGUCCUGGUGGGUUGUUGCAUGGGAACAGAGUUUUGAAUAACAGAGUAAGGGGAUUAAAACUCCUUAGUAACAGGGUGUGUCUCAAUUCUCAAUUACCUUUCUGUGUUAGUACCUUACUUUUUUCUUUUUUUUUUUACUGUAUCAAAUAAAUCAAGAUAAAUUUUACUUAAAAUUUUGGAGCUGAAUUCAAAAACUAUCUAACAUUUUGAACUUACUGGAAUUAGAGGUAAAAGGUUGGGUAAAAAUUGAUGCAAAUUUUACCUUAUGUAAUACCAAUUAUUGGGCUGCAAAAAGGAUGCCGGCGUGCAUAUAACAUGUAAGUGUCGCUUUUUUCGUCAAUUUGAUCUUUCGUAUUCAUCUUUUGGAUUAGUUCAGAUCCUUCUUAAUAUCUGCGAUAGAUAAUACUUUUUGUGGGCACUCUCAUGAUCUUAUAAAAUAUUGAAGAUGUACUCGCAUACCCGUGUGAUACCUUAUGAUUUGUUUAGAUUGUAAUUCGACAGCUCACGCCUGUCCUGCUUAUCAGAGAGUUUUUGUUGCAUAUAUAUAUAUAUAAAGAGAGAAAGACAAUAGGAAAAAUCUUACAUUUUAACAUGAGUUUUUGUUAAGAAGCAUUGAAUGGGAGUUCAAUUUUGGGAUCUCAUCCUUGCCACGUGAACAGCAAAGAUUGGUGGGUUCCGAACAGCAUAAAACAUCUUCACAGGUGUGUCCCCUUAGAUAAAAGUAAGAAAUAAAAAGAAAACUUUAUUUUCCUUUUUUUUUUAUUUUUAAUUGUACAUUUUUGUAUCAACUGUAGAAUCUUAACAAGUGGUGAUAGUAUUUAUGAACUUCGACCAGCUUCGAACAUAAAAUUCUUUGCUCCAUAAUAAUAUUACCAACGUGGAUUGUGUGCGCUACGAGUAGGUUUAGCACAUAUAUGUUUACUUCUAACUGUAGUUAGUGUGAAUUGCAUCUGGGUUGGAUCUACUGAUCCAGUAAAGAGAGGGUUUUGACUAUUUUUUUGCCUUGGUUUUUGGGUGUUGACUAAGCUCACUAUUGACUCUAUGGGCUUAAAUAGUCCACAGUAAUCUUCAAAUCCUUGAGUCCAAUGGUUGUGCUUUGACUUUUUCAACUACUGUCAAAGUCUCAUCACAGUUUCUAGGGAUUGGGGCCACUGCUGUUUUCCCAAACCUAGCUAAAAUUACACUAAAUUGAUUCAAACUACAUACAAUGUAGAUUUUGUUAGGAUUUAAUCAAAUUUUUUAUAGUUGUUUAAAAUUUAAAAUCAAUUCUUAUAUACUAGGGUAAAAAAAAAACUACUCCUGUAAAGAAGAAAAGUUGAACGUAUUCUUAUCUCGGUCAAUGAAUUUUGUACGACUUAUACUAUUAUUGUUUUCUUUUUAAAUAUAUUUUGCUGUAGAUAAAAGCUGACGAUAAAAACUCACAUUAAGACUUUUCUCGUGAAUUCUUAAUAACAAUGGAUAUAUGUCAAAAUAGAUUAGUAAUCGCACUCACGCACACGCAUCUAUUUAUGAAUUUGAGUGAGAAAAAUGGUUGUGGUGAUUCAUUAAUGAGGUGGCGUAUAUAACUUGCAUGUUUCUUAAAGUAGAUAAACUCAAACCUAGAAGAUUGAUAAAAACUAUGGUUAAUUAUAUAUUUAUUUUUGCACUUAGUUAAUUGUGGGGGCUACUAUAAAAGUAGUAUGGAGAAAAUCGCCCAACACAUAGCCCUAGUCUUCACUUUAACAAUGUGAUAUAUAAAUAUAAAUAUAAUUAAUGUUCAAUACUUUAAAAUCCGAGGACGGCGAUAAACUAUAAAUUAAAGAGGGUUAAAAUCGAUCCACUGGUUGAACAAGUAAACCAACAUUAAUUAUAUUAUAAUUUUUUUUAAUAUUAAGUAAAUAUUAAAAAGCCGAAUGAGGUUACCGUCAAGCGCGUUUAUCUUAGAACAUAGCUAAACUAUGGCGGGGCGAAUUAUUUAGUAAAAGGAAAUGAAUUUGAAAACAAUUAAGCAAAUAGUAUCAAUUUUCGAGCGAGAACCAACGAUUUCAUUUGAUAAACCGCCGACUCACUGCAAUCAAACUCAGGUUGUGACUCAUCGAAACUUAAGUUCCUGCUAGGGCUCAAUCUGUCUCUAGCUCGAGUGGUUGAACUGGUUUAUGCAACAUUAGCAAUGUUGUAAUUUCGAGUUAUCGACGUUGCAAAUUGCGUGCAUUAAUUCUAAAAAGAUAACUACAGAAAAAGGCGUAUUUGAUCCUAAUAGAGAGUAAUUUAUCAAAGUACCAUUUGAAUUGACCUGUUUAAGAAAACCUUUCUAAUAAGUAAAGCUAUUUCAGAAGUCAAAUUAGAUAAAUAUUGUACAACAAUAAUAAACUUUUAGGCGCUUUAAUAAAGUUGUCAAAAUGAAACAUCCAACCUCCACAAAACCUUACUUUUCUCCUCUUCCAACAUUUCAUUUAAAUUUUCAUUUUUAUUUUUUUCCUUUACCCUCACCUUUGCAUAUAUAUGAUUCUUAAAAUUAUAUUUAAUUAGUCAAUUUCACAAGUGAAAUAGAUCCAUUCAUAGCACAAAAUAGAUAACUUUUGACUCUUCUAUUGAUACACCUCACCUUUCUAUUAUGGGCUGGAACUUUUUCCCUCCUUUUCCCAUCAGGUUACUUUCAUCCAAAGUGAAAUACCACAAUUGCCCCUGCCUACACCACCAAACCAAACUCUUUUAACUAGAGAUGUUCAUCAGUACCUGAAAAAGCAGAAUAUCGAAUUACACUGGAUGGUAUUUAUUGUUUCUAAUAUUUGAGCUCGAAAUUUUUUUGCUAGAACCAAAAUAUCAGCUAGCACUACAACAAAAAUGGUAUAUAGCGACAUUUUUAAAUAUAGGUACAUGUCAAAAAAGUGCUGCUAGCUAAAAUUACUGACACUUUUAAAAAGUGUUGCUAUAUGUGGGGUCGCUAGGUAUAUAGUGACAGUUAAAGAGUGUCGCUAUAACCUAAAAGAGUGCUGCUAAUUUACCAACACUUAUUUAAGUAUUUAGCAACCGUCGAAAUUCUAUCUCGUUGGCUGCGAUGGCGGAGGAGGACGACAGGAAAGCCGCUUCGUCCAGAAUUUCAGUGGAUUGAAUGAAAAGAGAAGAAAAGAUGGUAAUUGAUUUUUCUUUUUUUUCUGUUUGUAAUCGGGUCAAAUGGACUGCGCGUGGUGGGUUGAGUAGAGUAAUCUUUUAUUUUUAGUUGGAUUGGGCUUUAUAUUUAGGCAUAAGUAGAUGUUUUUUAAAUUUUUAGUUUAAAUGGGACACUUACUCAAAAGUGUCCCAAACAUGUGUCCCUAUAACCUAAUUCUGUUGUAGUGUAGAACGAUAGUAUUCCAGUUUAUAAGUUGGACUAUUAUAUUAGGAUGAGAGAAUGAUAUUUUUAAUUUUUUAUAUUCAGAUCCCUCUCUUAUUCAGACUUGAUAUAUUUUAAUGGAUUAAUUAAAAAUAAAAUAAAAUAAAAUAAAAGGUUCUGAAAAAUUGAUUCACACCUUUUUGUUCUAAUAUAUAUCAUAUUAAACAUCCAUCUAGUAAACAUAUUUAAUAUUACCAAAUUCAGUACUCAACAAACGGUGCAAUAAUUCAUAUGACACAUUCAAUAUAAAAAUUGUAUUUUAAUAUUAUAUAAUAUUAUUUAUAAAAUAAAUGAAUAAUUUUUUUUUUAGCACCAAAAGGUAUAGUGGCAUUCUCGUUAUUACACUAAUUUCGGGGGUUAUUUUGUAAUGCAUGAGUGAAGCUUCCACGCAUGGGAUUCUGAGUGCGUUACUGCGCCGCUGCGGCUUUCUUUUAUGCGGAGAAUUAUAUUUAAUUAAUUUAUUUAUUUAUUUAUUUAUUUUUUAUUAUUAUUAUUAUUAUUAUUAUUAUUAUUUAUUCCGCACGUAACGAUCGAUCUCUUCCGUAGCUCCGUGCACCACCUUCCUAAUCCAACGGUCCACGUCACGCACACGCAACACCCAACGCCGCCAAUCACAACACGACACGUGUGCCGUGAUUAGCUACGAGCAUGUCACAGCGUACGGCACCCGGACCCAUUUUAGAAAUUUCUUUUUUUUUUUCUUAUCUUGAUAUUAAUGGGGAUUAUUACAUAAGGAUUUAGCGUACGUAAUAUUGUAAUGCGAUUAAAUAGGAGAUUUUGGAAUAUUUUUAUAAUGUGGAAAAGAUGAGUGUGAAAGCGUUGAAGGGCUCGAAAAGAUGGUGGCUAGGUGUGCGGUUCACGUUUGACUAGGAAUAUUUCCUCGAUCGCGAGCGCACACGCGCGUACACACAUACAUGCAUGUGCACGUGCGAGGUUGGUGGGGGUUAGGUAUACGCCCGCACGUGCCACGAUGCCUUCUUCACGGCCAACUGGCACGUGCAAAUAUGCAUUUGAUAUAGAAAAAAUAUAUUGUACUUUAAAUACGUACGCUGUAUCGAGCUUGACGGAGUCGUUCGUCGAUUCAGAUGCUCCAUCAUCGAAAAUGGCUUAUAAACACGGAAGCCGUCUUGCUCCUAAAGCACACAAGACCUACUCUCUCUCUCUCUCUCUCUCUCUCUCUCUCUCUAUAUAUAUAUAUAUAUAUAGUGCGGCUAUAAUGCUUGUAAAAACACAAAGUCUUUGGUGUUUGGUACUUGUAAAUUUUUUACCAUUAAAUCUAUUCCUUUGAUCAUUUCCUCCCAUUAGAUCAUACUAUUCAACCAACCAACCACUCAACUCUAGAGGUACCAUAUCAUCCUAACCACACAUCCUUUAAUCCAAUGGCCGAAAAUCUACCAGCACCAAUAACUUAUACUUUUAAAAGCAUGGGAACUCAAUUCUAUAUAUAUAGAGAGAGAGAGAGUCCGGUUGGGAUAUUAUCUAUAGCACCAAGCGUUUGGUGCUAUCGAGUUUUAUGUCGUUAGAUUUAACCCUUUGACUAUUUUUACCCGUUAGAUUAUACUAUUAAAUCAAUAACUCACUCAACCUUAAAGGACCUACAUCAUCGUAACCGUAUAUUUUUUCAUCCAAUGGUCGAAAACCUAAUAGCACCAAUAGGUUAUUGAUAGUAUUCUAACCUAGUUCUAUAUAUAUAUAUGCCGAGUUAGGCUCGGAUACUGUUAGGGCGCGUUUGGUUCAAGUUAUAUAAUAUUAUAGAGUAUUUCGAUAAAUCCAGGUAUCUUGAAUUUCUAAAAGAGAUUACUAUUUAUGUUGCAUUAGCGCGUUUAGUUUAAUACAGUAAUGUAAUGCUAGAUUUCAGUGGUUAUAUCUAAAAAAUUCAGUAAUUUAGACAAUAAAGUAUAGUCUAUUUCAAAAUUGCUCUUAUCCAUAUUUUGUAAACAUUUUUUCUUACUGUUUACAAAUAAUAUUUUUUUACUAAAUUUUAUUUUAAAUAAUUUAAAAUUUAAAUUUUCAAUUUUAACAAAAAUAUAAAUUUAAUAUUUUAAUUUAAAAUAUAAAUAAGAAAUUUAUAAAUUUAAAAUCCAAAAUAUAAAUAUAAAUAUAAAUUAAAAAUUAAAAAUCUUAAUUAAAAAUUUAGAAAUUAAAAUACAAAUUUGAAUUUAAAAUUUAAAAUUUAAAAUUUAAAAUUUAAAAUUUAAAUUUGAAAUUUAGAAUUUAGAAUUUGAAAUUUAAAAUCUAAAUUUUUAAACUUCAAAUUUAAAAUUUUUUAAAUUUUAAAUUUUAAAUUUUAGAUUUUAAAUUUCAAAUUUCAAAUUUCAAAUUUUAGAUUUUAAAUUUCAAAUUUUAAAUUUUAAAUUUAGAAUUUGAAAUUUAAAAUCUAAAAUUUAAAUUCAAAUUUAAAAUUUAAAUAUUAAAUUUGAAGAUUAAAAAUUAAAAAUUAAAAUUUAAAAUUUAAGAGCUGACAAUUCAAAAUUUUUAAUUAAAUUUUUUACAAUGACAUAUUAAAAGGGUUUCAGGAGUUGGAGCGGUAAAAUUGUCAUUUUACAUAAUAUAUAGUAUUACCGAUUUUCAGUAAUGUACGAUACACAACCCCCUUUCAUUAAUAUUUUCGGCGUAAUCCUGCUCGAUUUGUAAUAUUAUAUUAACGACUAGAUUACAUAGCGGAUGAACCAAACACAGUAAUCCAGUAGGAUUGCCUGUAAUCCUGUCAGGAUAACUCGAACCAAACGCAGCCUUAAUAAUAUGUAUAACGGUUUUCGCACAACUAACUCACUUAUUCUUAAGAAUUGAAUAUUAAUUCUGAUGCUGUUGAAGAUGAUUUACUAUAUUUUUACAUCGGUAGAAAAGUUGUUUUAACGGUUUUUAAAUUAAUUGAAUUUCUUUAAAAAAAACUCUUGGAAUUAUCUAAAUAAAGAUUAAUAUUUUUAAUCUUAAACUGAAAAUUUGUAAUUAUCAUAAAGCUGUUUAAUUUAAUCCAUUCAUUUUGUUGUUGUUCUAAUGUAUAUAGAUGAUACUCAUUUUAUUUAUUAUACUGAAAAUGCGAAGCAACAACAUUCGAACUUAAAAUUUUGGAUACCAAUCAUCAAAUUCUUUAUCACUUGCGAUAUUUGAUAGAUGAGAAGUAUGAUAAAAUAUCAAAAUGACCUGCCCUCUCCAACCUUCAAGUUAAUUUUUCAAAAGAGGUUCGGAAUUGUUGAUUUGAAAGAAUUCAACAUCUAAUAAAUAUAUAUUUUUUUUAUAAAAAGGAAAAUAGUAAUUGUUUUUUCCUUUUGAAAAAUAACUAAGCGUGUGUUUGGUUCCACGUAAAACUGUGGAAAAAAAAUUUUCGGUGGAAAAAAAAAUUUCGGUGGGAAAAAAAUUUUAUGCCGUUUAUGUUUGGUUUGUAGGAAAAGAAAAAUAGUCUUCCGUGACGGUUGUUUGAUUGAAAGAAAAAAAAAACUAUUUAUAUAUAUUUUCUCUUAUUAUAUAUUAUUAAAAUAUAAUAAUUAUCAUAAUAUAUUUAUUUAUUAUAAUUUAUAUAUUAUAUAAUAAAUAUGUAAUAUAAUAUAUAAUAAUAUAUAACAAUAUUAAUUAUACUAUUUUAUAAAUAAAAUUUAUUUAGAUAUAUUAUAUAUAAGAUAUAUAAUAAUAUAUGAUAUUAUUAUAUAUAUAUAUAUAGUAUAUAUAUAUAUAAAGGUGAGUGGUCCAGUGUGAACCACUCAUUUCGGUCCUCGAGCUCUUACAUGAGCUCGUGGACCCCGAUGCAAGGAAAACAUGAGCCGCGAUUUUUCCAUAGUGGAUUUUCAUUUUCCGCCGAGAAUCGGCAGAAAACGAAAAGUAAGCUUUUCCAUAUAAUCCACAAAUAAAAAUUUUUCGUAAAACUUUUUUAUGUCAAACUAAACGCUAGAAAAAUAAUUUUAAACUGAAAAAAAAAUUUCUGACCAUUUUUAUGGAGAACCAAACGCCCCCUUAGCUUAAUUACGAUUUUCUUAAAUUCAAUCUUACCUAAAAACCAAACGGCCGGCCCUAAGUCAUGCACAUGCACGGUGUGUUUGUGGAACGUGAUAAAAUGAACUUGGGCUUUAGGGUGACAUCAUCUACGUGACAAGAUGGUUAGAUACAAUUGAAGGUGCCAUUUACCUGAACAAAUUUUUUAGCGUGAGGAAUUUGUAUUUUGACUUUUUUGAGCCUUUGAAAAUUCUCCAUUAAUUCAUUAUUCAAUGGUGCGAUGUUUCUAACACUUAUGCUCGUCGAGGAAAUUAAAUAGAAAGAGAACAAAAGUUUGUUAAAUUCCUAUUCUAACAUCUCUAUCUAAUAAGUGCUUAAGUUUCAGAGUUAGUUAUUUACACCCUGUUUGGUUCGAAAACUUUUUAUACCCAAACACUACUUUACGUAUCCGAGAACAGUAGUUCUCGACUAUUUGAAAUAAGCUGGUAUAAUCCGGUAUAAGUCCGAAUUGUUGUUCCACCCUUAUCUCCGAAACAAUCGAUAACAAGAUUAAUUAAACUCUAAUUAAUUUUAAUUAUAGUAUUAAAUCAUUAAUUAGUAUAAUUAAUAAUUUUAAAUUAUUAAUUAAUCUAAUUACUAUAUUUAAACUAUUAAUUAAUCCAAUUAAUAUUAAAUCGUUUUCUCUGGACCAACAUCUGUUCCCACCCCUAUUUUCAUUUUUAAAAUUUAAAAUUUAAAAAAUUAAAUUUUAAAUUUUAAAUUUUUAAAAUUUAUAAUUUGUAAUCUCAAAAUUAAAGUUUAUGAUUUUAAAUUCUAAAUUCUUACUUUUAAAUUUUAAAUUUGAUAUUUAUAUUUUUCAACUUUAAAUUUGAUCUUAAAUUUGAAGUUUAAAAUUUUAAAUUUUAUAUUUUAAAAUUUUAAAUUUAAGAAUUUAAAUUUUAAAUUUUAAUUUCAAAUUUUAAAACUUAAAAGUUAAAUUUUAAAAUUUAAAAAAUAUAAAUAUAAAAUUUAAAAAUUCAAAUUCAAAUAUAAUAAAAAGGAUAAUAUUAUUAUUUUUUAUUUAUAACUACUACUAUUCUUCUUAUUCCAUUUCAUCUAUCCAAAUAUUAUUUUUCUUACUCCAGGAACAAUUUAAUUUUUAUCCAAACGCAAAAUUGGCAUAAUUCUUGCUUAUACGUGAAUUUCUAUCUAUUUUUGAAAUAAGCAAUUCUUACCUAUAUCCAAACCAAACGGUAUCUUAUUCAUAUCAUAUGAAUAAAGAGUUGUUAUUGAAAAUAUAGUAGACUGAGAACCCUAAUAAUAAUAAUCGGAUUUAAUCAUUUUUAGGCAGAGGCUUGGACCUUGCGAGAAAUUAGUGUUAUGCAGUACAAAAUCCUCGGAACUCUUUUGGAUCGGGUACAAAAUUAAUUUCUAAAAUUAAUUUCUAAAAUUUUUAACUUAUAAUUUAAAUUUCUAAAUUUCUAAAAUUUAAUUUCAAAAUUUAAAAUUUAAAAGUUAAAAUUUUUAAUUUAAAAUUAUAAGUUUAAAAAUUUAAAUUCAAUUAUAGGGGUGAUAUCAUUAUUUUCUAUUUAUAACUACCAAUUAUUCCACCUUAUAUUCACAUUUUCAUCCAAACACAAUUUUUUUAGUUCCAGUUUGUACUCACAUUUUCAUCCAAAUAAAAAAACAUUCUUAUUCUUACAAAAAUUCAUACUUGUACCUAUCUCCGGUAUAACUAGUUCUUGCUUAUAUAUAUUCGAACCAAACGAAGCCUUAGAAGUCAACUUCCCUGCAGGUUUGGUAGGAGCUGCCUUCGAAUACGUAUUUCGUAGAAGCCAGCUGCCACACAAAUUUGGUAGGAGCUAAUCUCGCAAUUCACAGAAAUAGCGUCCCAUGAGUUUGGUAGGAGUUACCUCGGAACUCGUAUGUAGAAGCUAGUUAUAACCACGCAGGUUUGGUAGAAAUUGAUAAGAGCUACCUCGGAACUCGUACAAGUUAGCUACCCGGCGAGUUUGUCUAUGUCGCAUAUGAUAGAAACUACGUACCUUAGAACUCAUGAUAGCUAAAUUUAAAAACUCAUGCUAUUUGACAGUACAGCGUGUUGCCUCGCAGGUUUGAUAAGAACUACCUCUUAAAACCGUAAAAAUUAUCUCUAAAAUGUCACGUCCCCUGAUAGACGUGAAAUUAAUUAUUUGCACUAUAUGUUUUGGAUGAGAGUUUGGCAUGGUUGCUUUAUUUUUACCACAUACUAAUACAUCAAAAAAAUAUAAAUCCUGGACUGUACAUUUAAAUGCUUUUUAUUAUAAUUAAUUUGGAGCCCUUUAAGGCAGGGACGAAGCUAUAUAGAGGCCCAAGGUGGUCAUGGCCCCCCCUCAACUUUUCAAUAUUUACUUAAUGGUCCUUCAAAGAUUUUUUUUUUUUGUGGUACAUGGAUAGCUUUGCCCCCCUAGUUUUUUAAUAUUUGCUUAAUAGUAUGAUGCCUACAUAUAUAAUGUACUCUCUCUUUCUUUCUCCUAAUUGUAUACUCUUUUUAUGGAUGAAAAUAUAUUAAAAGCUUCUUACUUAUAGAGUCUUUUGUAAUAUAUUUUUUUACUCUAAAAAUUUUAUUUAAUAAUUUUUAAAAAUUUUUAUUUAUCUUAGGUGAGCUCUUGUAUUUGACUAAAUCAAAAUUUGUACUAAAUUUAAUAGCUAUGUUAAUUUACAUUAUUUAUUUAAUUAAUAUUUUUUUAUAAAAAAUUUUUAAUUAGAAAAAAUUUUAUUUAUUAUUUAUUACUAAAAUUUCUAUUUAAAUAUAUUCCCCUAGCUUCGUCCGCAUAGAUAAGGUUGAAGAACCAAGAAGAUAAGAUGAAUUAUCGUACGAAUUAAGAGCCGGAAAAUGAACAGCAUUUUAUGUUUCUCACCAAUUUUCUAAUCAUCAUCUUCUUCAUCAUUCCGAGGACAAACUUUUACUCUUCCCAACGAUCAUUUCUACAACGUCUUGUCGACCCAAUAACCUAAUUCAUACAAUGCAAGGGAGGUGCACAAUUUGAUAAGUUUUUUUAUUUUUAGAAAGAAACGUAACGUGUGAUUCGUUUCGCUAAUUUUUUUUUUAAAAAAAAAAAACCCUUAGUUAAAAUGUGAAGUAACUAGAUUUCGAACUUAUAAACCUCGAGUACCAAUCAUCAAGUCUUUUACGUUUUGCGUUUGAGACGGUCGGUAAUAAUAAAAAUUACUCGUAAACACGUUCAUAGAAUUUUCCAGUAAUAAACUUUUCGUUACAGUAGAAAUAAAUUAAACCUUCAUCUCAAACUAUUUGACCCUUCAUUAGAGCUAGAAUUACAUGCCGAAACUAUGGUACCAAAUAAAAUUUAAGGCACUGUUUGGUUCUUCAAAAAAGAAAAAAAAAGGAAAAAAAUUUGCUUGAGAUAACUUCUUUUUAUUAAAUUUUUAUUUUUCUGUUUUGUGCCUGUUAAUUAAUUUGGUUUCAAGAAAAUUUAUCUUCUUGGAAAAAAAAAAGUCUGGAUUUCACAAAAAAUUACUAUUUUUGUUUCUUGAAAAAAAAAAGAAAAAUAAAAACACUAGUUUUUUGUAAAAUUUUGAAAAAAAAAAUUUGCUUCUUUUAACAAGACGGGUAGAAAUUUGAAAAUUGGAUUUUCAACGAAAAAUAUUUUUCUCGAACUUUUUUUUUUCAUAAUUUUCUGAGAAACUAAACAACUCCCGGUGCUUAACCUUCAAGCCAAAUUUUCUACAUCGAUCAGUAUGAACAGAAUAAUUCUUAAAAAUUUAUUUCACCUUUUGCUAUAUAAUAAAAAACUUUAUACAUUUGACACCAUUUCUCCAAACUGAAAAACUAACAAAAAAUCGAAUAACUAUUAUAACAUUAAUUUGGAAAAAGAAAAAAAAAAAACUUGUUGGGGGAGCUCUAUUUCGUCGCCAUAUGUUACUUGGUUACAAUCCUUUUAAAAAAGAAACUAUUAAAUGAAUGUAAAAUUAACACGUGAUAGCAGAACGGACGUUGUUGUAGAGGCCCAAUUCGCCGUCAUAUGUCAUUUGAUUAUAAUCAUUUUCUAUAUGAUUUAAAAGUUAUUUUUUAAUUUUAGUAUUAAAAAAUAUCCAACGAAUUAUUAAACAGAGAUAAAACUAAUAUGCGGCAGCGGAACGAAUGACAUCGUUCGAGAGAUCUCCACUAAAGUUUUAUCCGUAGCAUCUGGGUCUAAGUUUGAGAUAAUGGGUUCAUUUCCAUCAUCAUUACAAGAAAUCGAAAUCCUAUGAAAUGAUGUGCACAAUAAUUUGGGGUGAGUGAUUUGAGUGGGUAAUUGAGAGAGUACUCAAAAAGGAGAAGACCCCAAACUAAGGCGUGAGAAUUAGGUAAUCAUUACCCAUCUUUGGAGACUUUCAUGUUGGGUUGGGUUUCCUUUCACUCGGACCAAUUAUAUGAACAAGUGUUCCAUCCACAUUAUUCACAUCAUUCACAUUAUCAACAUUGUCAAAAAAAAAUUAAAAAAAAAGGUUUUUUUUUUAUUUUUUCACUUUGGCCUAGCUUCUGUAUUCAAAGAAAAAAAAAAUCAAUUAAUAAUGGUGAUCAUUGAGUUUGUUUGUUAUUUAUAAUUUUGAGUGUCUGUUUGGCUCGAUUUCAAAGCAACUUCUUUACUUAAAAUGAUAACAAAUGACUUCUAGGGCUUGUUUGGUUCGAAACUAUAAAAGAUUACUAGUAAUAAAAAGAUGUCUAACGAUUUUAUUCCUUCUUAUUCUAUUACUGAGGAUAUAGCAUUUCGGUGUUUGGUUAAUACGGUCAUAUUAUUUAGUCAUAUUAGUUAUGAUUACGAAAAAUAUAUAAUUAACGUAUUUGUUUCAUUAAUUAAUUUUACAUAAUAAUAUAAAAAUUUCAAUAUUUUUUUAGAAAGAAAGGAGAAAAAACAUAGGCUAGAGAAAGAGAGAGCAUAUUAAAAGAAACAGGGAGAGAGAUAGAGCCGAGAUUAGAGAGAGUGAGAGAGUUAAGAUUUUAGAAAAAGAGGAGGGGAGAGAGCUUAGUUUAGAAAGAGAAAAAGAGCUAAAGUUUAGAUGGAGAAAGAUAAGUUUAGAGAGAGAUAUGAGAUAAUUAAGAGUGUAAGAAAAACAACAACAACUAGCCGGCGGGUGGGGAAAAAGAAAUAGAUUAGACAUAAUAUGAUUACCUCUAUUCAUUAAUAUGAGGAUAUCUAUCUUCUUUUAGGGUGCGUUUGGUUCGCGCUAUCUUUUUAAGACUCCUAGUAAUCCAAUAGAAAUAAAAAAAAUAUGACGAUGUUUGGCUAAACGCACCAAGUAAUCUAGUUGAUAAUACUAGAUUUACUUGGGAAUGAGAUGCAUCCCAAAAUACUAAUCUCAUUCCUUUGAAGAAGGGUGGGUAUCCUUAUAUUAAUGGAUUUGAGUAAUUAUAAUAUAUCUAAUUUCUUUCUUUCUUCCUACCCGCCGGCUAGUUGGUAUUAUUUUUUUUUAUACUCUAACCUCAUAUCUCUCUCUAAACUUAUCUUUUUCUCUCUAAAUUUCAACUUUUUUUCUCUCUUUAAAUUACGCUAUUUCUCCCUCUCUUUUUCUAAAACCUCAACCCUCUCAUUCUCUCUAAUAUUGACUCUAUUUCUCUUCUUAUUUCUUUAAUUAUGCUCUCUUUUUAACCUAUAUUCUCUCUCUUUUUUAAAAAAAGAUGUUAAAAUUUUUUAUAGUAAUUAUCUAAAAUUAAAUUAAUUAAUUAAUUAAUUAAUUGUAUAUUUUUCAUAAUCUUAAAUAACAUGGCUAAAUAAUAUGACCGUACGAACCAAACACCGAAAUACUACAUUCUUAGUAAUAGAAUGAAUAGGAAUAAGAUUCUCGGAUAUCUUUUUACUCCUAGUAAUCUUUUAUAGUGCGAACCAAACGUGCCCUUAAAGGAAUGAGAUUACUACUUUAUGAUUGAAUCUCAUUCCCCAGGUAAAUUCAACAUUACCAACUAGGUUACUCAGUGCGUAUAGCCAAAUACCGUCAUAUUUUUUUUAUUUCUAUUGAAUUACUAGAAAUCUUAAAAAGAUAGCGCGAACGUACCAAUCUUAAAGUUUUAUUGUAGCGCUAAAUGAAACGAUAAUCUAGAUCCCGAAAAGAGAAGAUCCAGUUUUGAAGCUUUCACUUUUGUUGCAAUAGAAAGUUAAUAGUUGGACUUAAAAAUUGUUUGUAAUUUCUCGAAUAUUUCGAUUCCAAAUUUUCAAUAGAACUUUUAUGGAAUAGGUCUUAAAGGUGUCUUUAUCAUUGUCCUCAUUUGAUUCGUAUUGUUAUCUCAUUCCUGCUCUUCAGUACAGCAAAAUUUACAACAAAUCUUUUUUUUUUUUUUUUUUAAAUAUUUGUACAAGAAAUAAUGGUAGCUUAAGGAAGAAAUAGAAGUAAAGGUGAUAUUAAAAGUUAUUUGAAGCAUUUUUUGUGGAACUCUGUCGUUGCUUUCGCAUUAUAAUAAAAGUAGAAGUUUUAUAUUAAGACUCUUCACUAUACGAAAUUCACUUCAGCUUGUCAUUAUAGUGACAGUUGAUCUAAAUAUACUGUUCGGUGAAUACGCAUUGUUGCUUCUCGUUAAGAAGUUGUAUCAAAAGUCAAGCGAAACAGGCACGAAUGUUGGAAACUUUGUUAAACGUUAUACGACAAUUUUCUAAGAUUAAUCUGCUGAGUUCCAAAUUUAACUAUGAGCACUUCAAAUUUAAGUUCUAGCUUAGAUUUGGCAUUUUUUGGGCCUAUUUUUGUUUUCUGAUCCUAUAAUGCUUGGAUAGGGCUUGGUCUUGCCAAUAGCUAGCCCAUGUGUUCAUCAUAUUCUUUACCAAACUCUCUUUAGGGUUUUUUUUUUUUUUUUUACCAAUAAAAUGUGAAAAAAAAAACAAAAAAUAAGGCUAAGAGCACGACUGCUGUACUCUUAAGAGAACUGAGGCCUCAGUACUGCUGAGCCGUUUUCGAUGAUGAAAUUUUCGAAUCGCCGAUCGGCUCCGUAAGAUUUGAUCUUAACGUAUUUGAAGUUUCUAAAAAAUCAUUUUUGCGGUUUUUCGAUAUUAUUUAUCUAGCAAUCGAAAGGAUUUAACAUCAACGGCUGAAAAUAAAAAUUCUAUAAAAAGUAGUGAUAUAGCACUAAAAUUUUGGAUCUGAGAUAUUGAUAAUGUUGUAGAUAGUAUAAAGAUUUUUGUAUCAAAAUUUCACCUGAUUUGAAUACUUCUAUAUCGUUAAAUUUGAAAACAGUAGACAUCAACCAUUAAAAAUUAUUAAUUUUGAACGCUCUCGAUCAAGUAGAUAAAUGUUAUCAAAAGAUCGCAAAAAUUAUUUACCAAGAAACUUCAAAUAUGCUAGAUCGAGUCUAACAGAACUGAUCAUCGAUUCGAAAGCUCCAUCAUCGAAAAUGACUUGAAUUUAGAUGUGAACUUCAUGUUAGAAAAUUCUUCAGAUUCAGAUUCCAAUGCAAGUUCACUAUUCUUUCUUUGAUUCAACAACAAUUCAAAUUAUCCCAAUCGCAAAACUGAUAUCUUUUAUGUCUCCAAUAUGUAACAUGUCAGCUGAGUCCAUAGUCAAUAUUAGUUUUUAUAAAAUUCAUAACAUUUUUUUAAAUUAUUCUUGUUUUUAUAAAUUUUAGAAAGAUUAAUACAUUGACAAACCUUUUUUUUUUCAUUUUUAGUUUUAUAUAUUUAUUAAAUAUCUUAUAUAUUCAUUUCGCUUACUCCUCCAUUGGCAUCCAAAGUCCAUUUUUACCUACUAUGGGUUUGAAUUUAGUAUCCGACUAAUAUCUGAAUUCAAAUCCAGAUCCGACAUAAAAUUAGUUGGAUCUGCAUCCAUUUAAGAUCCAUUUAAAGCGCUAACCCUUAUUUGGCAUCCUUUAUCCAUUUAUUGCAAAAGUAUUUCCUUGAUGAAGAACUAUUAGACACUUAGGCCCUAUUUGGAUACCCUUAAAAACAUAGCAUAGUUAAACUAUGCUAUACCCGUAGGAAAUUUAUUCUAUGAAGCGUUUGCGAGAAAAAAAAAAUACCGUGAUUUUUGUUAAACUAUAUUUCAAAAAAUGGAGUAAAAUUAUAAUCCACUUUAACCAAAGAAAAAGAAUUUCACCAUUUUUGGGCAAAGAUGUAUCAAGUUUUAACUUUUAAAUUUCAACAUAAAAAUAGAUUUUAAAUUUUAAAUUUUAAAAUUUAUUAAUUUAUAUUUUCAAUUUUUAAUUCUAAAUUUUUAAAUUUCAAAUUUAAUUUAUCAAAUUUCAAAUUUCAUUUUAAAUUUUAGUUUUCAAAAUUCAAAAUUUAAAUUUUAAAUUUUAAAUAUCAAAUUUUAAAUUUUAAAUUUUAAAUUUCAAUUUUGAAAUUUGAAAUUUGAAAUUUGAAAUCUCAAAUCUCAAAUCUCAAAUCUCAUAGUUCAAAAUUUCAAAUUUGAACUUUAAAUUUUAAAUUUAAAAUUUAAAAUUCUAAAUUUAAAUUUAAAAUUUAAAAUUCUAAAUUUAAAUUUUUUUUAUUUUAAAUUUUAAUUUUUAAAAUUUUAAAAUUAAAUUUAGAUUUUUAUAUUUUAAAUUUUUAAUUUUCAAAAUAAAAUUUAAAAUUUAAAAUUUCACAUUUCACAUAUCAAAUUUUUAAUUUUUAAUUUCAUUAAAAUUUAAAUUUUGAAAUUUGAAAUUUUAUCUUUUAAUUUUAAAAUUUAGAGAAAUCCCGUUAAAUUGUACAAUGAGCAUCCAAACAGUUUAAAAAUUGAAUUCGUGAAAUUUUUUUAGAGUUACAGAAUUUCCUAUUUCAUUUAGGCCAAAACCACAGUUUAUAAAUUCCGUAGAGAUUUUUUACUGUACAUCCAAACAGGGCCUUAGUAUGUGAAAAAAAAAAAUUUCUAAAAUCCAACUUAAUUGCUUCGUAAAAUAAAAAAAAACAUUUAUUAUAUAUGUCAGUAAUUUUUGAAAUUUUAAUCCUCUAAUCAAAUUGCAAUUUAGAUAAAGUUGAGUUUUAAAUUGCCCUCGUAAUGAUAAAAUAAGAUAUUUUUAUUUUAUCAUACAAAUGAAAAUUUUAUUGUAUACAAAAAAUUUCUAUAGACUUAAGUCACCAAAACCCAGAUCCCAAUUUGAGGCCAAAUUAGUUUUCUAAACCAAGUUUAGAGAAUUUACGACAACGCUAACGCAAAUAAGCAUACUAACAAAAUUCUCUAAUUUUUGAAAAAUAUAUGGAACAAUAAUUUGCAAAUUAUUCAUUAGUGUACAAAUAUUAACGAAAAAAAUUAUUAAAAUUACAAACAAUUUACAAUUUUUUUUUGACUAGUUGAUGUAUUUUUUACAUUAAUCAAAUACCAAAUGAGUUAUUAUCUGUAAUGUUUUUAACUUUUAGAUGCAUAAAUUUGAUUAGAAAUUAAAUAAUUGCAAAAGAAUGUUGUUGUUUUAUAUAUUUUAGUUUUAUAAAUUUAUAUUUUAUUAACUGCAAAAGUUUCGAUUGAUUUAAGUUUGUUAAAGUAGAGAUUAUAUUAUAUCAAUGACUCUUAAAUUUGACCGCUCUAACUUUUUGUUAAGUUUGACAAAUUCUUUUAUUUGAGAAACUUUUCAACUUCACGAACUAUAGCUCAAAUAAAAGAAAAAUUAAAAGUAAAGAUGCGACCAUCGAAUAAAUAGAUUAGAAACAUAAUUUAUCGAGAGCUUUUUGAAAAGUAGAUUUAACUUAGUAGCAGAGUAGUUUAUAUCAUUCAAUUUGUCGAUCAAAAUCUGGGCGAGACGUAAACAUUCCACAAAUUGUAACACAUGUAGAGACUUGUCCACAUGCAACAAUUACCGUUGAGCGAAAUCCAAUAAAUUUCUCAAAGCAUAUCAAACAUCCCAAUAUCUGAAGAUAGAGAGAGAGUUGAGAUAGAAUACUAUCGAUAGCAGAUGGACUCUGUUGCUAUCGAUUAGUUUUCGAUGAUGAAGCCUCCAAAUUGACGAUCGGUACUAUUGAACAUGAUCUAUAUUGUAUCUAGAAAAUAAACUUUAUAUGUUUUCGAUAUUAUUCUCUUAUGCAUUAAGAAGAUAUAAAUAUUCUCAUAAUCAAAAUCAAUAGCAUUUAUAUAUAUAUAUAUAUAUAGAAAACAAAUAUCUCCCCUAUACAGAGUAAAGAGAGAAAAUUCAUAAGCCACGAAAAAUAAUAUAAGACUCUCCCCAUAAAUACCACUCCUCACAUACCAAAAAAUAAAAAUAAAUAAAAAAUACAACAAUCAAAUAAACCACAAAUGCGCCAAAUGAAACAAAUCAUUUCCCCCUUCUCCUCCCACAAGAAAUGGGCCAUUUUUUCAAAUCAAUGAGCGAGGAGGGCGAAGAGCGAAACGAGAGCGGCGAUCGCGAGAGCGCGCAGGGCGGGGAUAGUCGCGCCGAGCACCGCGGCGCUCUCCAUCGUCGGCGCCGGCACCGGCGCCGCCGACAAAUCCUCUUCCUCUUGCGCAUUGGCCACGGCCAAUACAACAAACACUGCAACGAGAAGAGCCUUCGUUGAGAGCUUCCUCAUUGCCUCCAUGUAUAAUAAUAAUUCUUCGAGAGAGAGUAGUAGUAGUAGUAGUAGUAAUAUAUUGUAAUAAUAAUGCAAAACUAGAGGGGGGGUUUUGCUUUUGUUUUUUGGGGUGGUGGUUGUGGGGUUUAGGGAGAUGGGGAGGGGCGCGUAUAUAUAGGGAGGGAUUUGGGAAGGGGGGAAUAUAGCCGUUGCGAAAAGGGAAAAGGUGGGGAUUUUGAUUUUGAGAUUUUUCUUUUUUGAAUUCGGGGGUGUGGGGCCCACGAUGGAGUGAAGUAGCCGUUAAGAGCGUACGCGUGGCGAGCGGUGAGUGGUUGCGGUGGUGUGGGGCCCAGCAGUCGACGGUCCAACUUACCGUUGAAAUGUCGGGGCCGGGAUUGCUUGGCGGGCCGGCGAAGCGGCCGACACGCGGAUCGAGGUGAGGUUGCCGUCUGGACGAGGGAAAAAAAAAUAUCUUGAAUGUACCGGAUAUAUAUAUAAGCAGGCUGCUGUGCUCUCAGGUGCACGGAGGCCUCCGUGCUCCUGAGCCGUUUUCGACGAUGGAGUUUUUGAAUCGACGAUCGGCUCCGUUAAACUUGAUCUAGCGUAUUUAAAGUUUCUAUAAAAUAAUUUUUGCGAUUUUUCGAUAUCAUUUACCUAACAAUCGAAAGAAUUCAAAAUCAAUAAUUUUUAACGGCUGAAAAUAAAAAUUCUAUAAAAAGUGGUGAUAUAGCACUAAAAUUUUCGAUCAGAAAUAUAGAUCUUGUUGUAGAUAGUAUAAAGAAUUUUCUAUCAAAAUUUCAUCUGAUUUGAAUAUUUCUACACCGUUAAACUUGAAAACGGCAGAUAUCAACCAUUAAAAAUUAUGGAUUUUGAAUCCUUUCGAUCACUAGGUAAAUGAUAUCGAAAAAUCGCAAAAAUUAUUUUCUAGAAACUUCAAAUGCGCUAGAUCAAGUCUAACGGAGCCGAUCGUCGAUUCGAAAACGGCUCAGGAGCACGAGACUCCGUGCUCCUGAGAGCACAGUAGCCCUGCUCUAUAUAUAUAUAUAUAUAUAUAUAUAUAUAGAGAGUUGAGCUAGAAUACUAUCGGUAGUAAACGAGCCGUUUUACUACUGAUUUGUUUUCGAUGAUAGAACUUCCAAAUUGACGAUCGGCUCCGUUGAACAUGAUCUUAACCACUUGAAGUGUUUAGAAAUCAAAUUUCAAAUCUUUUCAACAUCAUUUGCCUAAUGAUCAAAGGGUUUCAAAAUUUGUAAUUUUAAUGGUCGAUAAGAGCGUUUCUACAGUUUAACGGCUGUAAAGAUAUCCAAAUCAAUUGAAUUUUUGUUAGAAAAUUCUUUAAACUAUUUAAACAAGAUCUAUCUCUUGAUCUUGAUUACAAGACUCCUAUCAUUAUUUUUAAAGAGUUCAUUUUUCAGCCAUUCAUUUUUUUGUUCACUUGAUGGAUAAAAGAACAUAAUCGAAAGUGCAUGAAAUUUGAUUUCUAGGUAGUUUAAAUGGUUUAGAUCAUAUUUAACGAGCCGAUCGUCAAUUUGGAAGCUCUAUCAUCGAAAACAAUUCGGUACUAAAACGCUCGUUUACACGAUAGUAUUCUAGCUCAACUAAUAUAAUAAUAUAUAUAUAUAUAUAUAUAUAUAGAGAGAGAAGAGAGAGAGAGAGAGAGAGAGAAGGAGAGAAGUAGGGCUACUGUGCUAUAGGAGCACAGCAGUCUUUAUGCUCCUAAGUUCUUAACGUCAUCAAAUUUGAUGGGUGGUUAGGGUGAAUGGGAGAAAGAAAUUGAAGAGAAUUCAAAGAGAAGAGAACCAAAUUUCUCUCUAAUUACUCUUCUCCCUUUCACCCUAACCACCCAUCAAAUUGAUGGUGUUAAGAACUUAGGAGCACACAGCUGCUGUGCUCCUAAUAACACAGUAGUCCAUAUAUAUAUAUUAUAUAUAUAAUAUAUAUAUAUAUAUAUAAUAAAUAUAUAUAUAUAUAUAUAAAUUGCUGACGUGGCGUCCCCAAUCAACCAAAUUAUCUUCUUGAAUUGAUGCAUUCCAUUAUAAUUAAUAAAAAAUAUCUGUAUUAUUAUAUUUUUUUGUCAAAUGGAGAAAUAUAAUUAGUUUGUUACUGAUGAUGUGGUGUAAGUAUGAUACAGAGGAGGGAGUUUACUAUUGUAUCAUACUUACACCACAUUAUCAAUAACAAGCUAAUAACAUAUAAUUAGUUAUUACAAUCAUGAUGGGAUGGAUAAUUCCAAAAUGAGACAUUUAAUUGGUUGAAAAUGCUACGUUACUAAUAUAACCGGUGCAUUCUAGAAUUUUUCGUGUCGAUAGGGGUUUCUUUUCUAGAAAAACAUGCAGAUGUUUUCUGAAUUUUAAUAGGCAUUUGGUACGAGGUAAAACGAACCGACUAAUUAUUUUCAGUAUGAAAAUUAUUUUUUUAUUUGUUUGAUUUAACAUAAAAAUAAUUUUACGGAUUUGAAAAAAAAAUUGAAAAUUUUGUUUUUUUUUUUUUACUGUUUUUCAGCCAAAAAAAAUAAAUAAAAAUUCAGACGACAUAAAACUUUUUUCUUUUAUUUAUUUUUUUUUUAAUCAAACAAAUGUUGAUACAGGAAUAUAGUUGUGGAUUCAACUUUUAGAAUAGCCCCAUAAGUAACACCAAACAAAUCCACUACAUGAAAACAAAAAUUCUAAUUUCACAAUUAAAAAAGGAAUGUAACCUCUAACCCCCAUCCAAGAACAAUUGUGGUUACUCAACUCCGUUUUGAAUUUUGGUGUUAAAAAUUAUAGAGACUGAUAAUUAGUAGAGAAAAGUUUAUCUUUCUAUAAUGAAAUUGUACAAUUAUGGCUCUUUUGAGAUUGUAAAUCUAGCAUUCCUCUUAGGGACGGUUUAUUUACACACAAUUACAACUAUACUGUUAUAACUACAUGCAGAUACAAUCAAGCAUCUGUUCUGAUAAAUUUAAAUUUAGCUGCUACGUACAGUUACAACUGGACAAGAAGGCUUAGCUACAGGAGAUGAAAAUAACGUAAAAAUUAAUUAUAGUUCAAACUACUACAACGCUCGAAGAAAAUAAUUUUAAAUAAAUAUAAGUUUAUCUUUUUAAUAACCUUUAUAAUAGAUUAUUCUUUCCUCUCCUAUAUAGAGGAAUUCUGACAACUCCUAUAUACAUGCAACCAAACAAAACAAUUAUAACUGAAGUGUUUUCUACUAUAUUCAGUCAAAUAAAAUAUAUAUAAUUAUAGUUACCAUAUUUUUAACUAAGUAUAUAUAUAUCCAAAAACACCGUAUUUAUAAUUACAUCAAACCAAAACAGCUUCUUAUGUUAAUUACCAUCCAAUUGUGUUCCAUUUCCAUAUCAAAACAAAAUGGCAUCAGCAACAUCACUCGAUCCACAGAGACUUACUCUUGCUUCUUCAACCAAAACUAACGUAGAUAAUAAUAAUAAUAAAUAUUAAGUAACACUCGAUCCGCUAUAAUAGAAACUAUUAAAACAACCAACAACAACAACACAUAUCUCCUCAAAACUUACGUGAGAGGAGGUUGCAAAACCCUCGAACACCCACCCACACAUGCAUAGCAUGCACGUCCAAAAAAAAAAGAAAAAAAAAAACUCUCUUACGCAAUUCAAAUCCAUUUAAAUAGAGCGCGCUAAGCUAGCUAGCCCUACACGAAUAUCAAAGCCGCCGCGGCAAGAGCGAGCGCGAGCCCGGCACGGCUGAAGCGGGCGGCGGCGGUGGCUCGGGACAGGGCCCACACCCUGACGUCGUCAACGACGGGCCCGCACAGCGAGCUGUGGUCGUCGCUGCGGGUGUUGUAGUAGACGCUGUAGAAGGCGACGCGGGUGCGGUCGGCGCGGGCGACGAAGGUGAGGUUGGCGAGAUGGCUGGUGGCGUUCCCCGUCGGGGAGUAGUGGAAGGCGCCGGUCUGGUCGGCGGCGAAGGCCAUGACGGCCAGGGGUGGCUGGCAGGCGUCGCCGGCGGCACCGAGGGUGAAGGUGAGGGCGUAGUUCUUGGCCGGCGUGGUGGCCACCAUCUGGGAGAUGAUGCCCUCCUUGCCGGACAGCAGCUCCACCGCGCGCUUGCCGCCGGGGACGGAGAAGUGGGCAGCGUCGACGUAGCGGACGGCACGGUUUGACUCGACGGUCCAGCCUCGCGUUCGGGAACACCCACGGCCCCUCCUCGAAGUCGCCGUUCACCGCCGCGUUAUCUGCGGAAGAAGAUGAUGAUGGACGAUGGUGACGACGGUGGCGCCGAAAGAAAACUUAGCAUUAUCUUUUUUUUCCGAAAAUCUUAAAAAAUUGCUGUUACCUAACUUCUAUGAAUAUAUUAAAUCAUUCGUAUAUCAUAAAUUUAUAUAAUUAGAACGAAUUUGAAUCAAUCAUUUAACUUUAAUUGAAAGGAUAUUUACAUAAUAUAUUAUAAGUCUAGAGAAACAUACAUAUUAAUUUAAAAUUUAGAGAGAUAUAUAAAUUAUUUUUAAAUUUCAGAGGGAUAGAAUAGUAUUUAACCUAUUAUUUUAUUAUUCAAAAUCUGAAAAAAAAAAAAGAAAAAUAGAAAAAAACCCUCUUGGAAACAGAUAUGCAAGCUUUUUUUUUUCUUUUUCUCUUUUUUUUUUCUCUUUGCCUUUUCCUUCCCAGUGGCCCAGUUUAUAGACUACGGUCCAGAUCAAGACUAGGGAUGCAAAUGAAUCCAAAUUAACGGCUCCUUGAAUAAGUGUGAAAAAAAAUAUAUAUAAAAAAUAAUUUUUCAGAAAACUUUUCUUCAAAUUUUAUGAAAAGUUAUUAUUUUCGUUUUCUAAAAAAAUCGAAAACGAAAACAGUAAUUUUUUUAUAAAAUCUAGAAAAAAACUAGUUUUCUUGGAACCAUGCGGGUGAAAAUUUAAAAAAAAAUUAUUUUUCAUAAAAGAUUUUUUUUCUCAAAUUUUUUUAUAUAUAUUUUUUUCGCAAAACCAACAGGCCCCUAAAUGAGUGCCAAAAAUAACAAAAUAAAGUAAUUUGCGGUGACUGCUCCUUCCCCUAUUUACAUCCCUGCUUUCCUAGUCAAGAUAAAAAUUUAUCUAAAAUAUUACUUUUGUCAAAAUUUUAAAUAUCGAGUCAAGCCGAUCAAUUCGACCCGUUGGACCACAACUCAUUUUAUAGAACAGUUCGAUUCAACCUUUUGAAUCGGAUAAGUCAAAAAUCUGCUUUGACUCGUUCGAACUAACGAUUCAACCAAUGAACCAGUGGACUAGUUUGGUUCUAAACAAACAUGAUGGAUUUUUUAAUCAAGUCAAAAAAAAAAAAAACAAAAUCCAGCAGCAUAAAAUUGAGUCAACUUUUUGAAAAUUUUAUUUAUAAUUGAUUUGAUUAAUUUUUAUAUUCCAUUACAACUCAUUAAUCAUAUGAAAAGUGAAACCAGAAAACUUUUAGCCGCUUAAUUUAGUCUAAAAAUCAAUAUUUUGCACUUAAAUAUAGUAUUAGAAUAAUAACAUAAACAUAUUUUCAUAUAAUAAAAUAAAAAAUAAUUAAAUAUUUAUGAUGUCAUACUGACGCCACUAGUUCAAUUAACACACGGGUCAAAACCGGCAACCCUUCACCCAGUAAUAUUUUCGGAUUGUUGUCGGUCUCAAAUUUUUUUAUUUUUUAUUUUUUUAUUUUUUUUAUUUUUUUUGUCGGCACACUUUAGUGAGCUCUCUUAUACAUGGCCCUACAAGCCCAUGGUGCGGUUCACUCGGUUUCGGGCUUUUUGUGCGCAGCGGGUCAAACCUGAACGCACAAGCAGGCUAAGUGGACCGCUUCGGCCCACAACACACCCCACCCACAUGGGAUCUGAAACCAAUUCCCUUCUAAAGGGAGUAAAAGUAAUAUCAAUUCUAUAUACGAGUCCAGCUAUGGUGGUUUUAAAAGCACAACACACUUCGUGCUUUUAGGUUUUUCGCUAUUAGAUCUCUGCCCAUUUGACUAUUUCUAUCAUUAGAACAUGCUAUUCAGCCAGCCAACCACUCACUUAACCUUAGGGAACCACUAUCAUCCUAACCGCACAUCCGUUAAUUCAAUGACAAAAAACCCACAAGCACCAAUGACUUAUACUUUUAGGCCCUGUUUGGAUCGUGGGAUAAGCGGGGAUAAUGAAAGUUAUCCCCGCUAUUCCGCCAAACGGGAUGAAAUUUGGCUGGGAUAUUUUAUCCCGGUCAAACCUUGCUAUUCCCGGUUAUCCCGGAAUAGCAAGGGAUUUGCUAUUCUACCAUUUUGGUGGAACAGUGCUAUUCCAAUGCUUAAUUUCAAACUUAAUUAAACUUAUAAAUUAAAUUAAACUAAAUUAUAUAAAUAUAAUAUGUUAUAUAUUAUAAUACAUUAUUUUUAUUAUAAAAUUAUUAAUUGUACUAUAUUAAUACAUAUUAUUUAUAUUUAAAUAUUAUAAUAAAAUUUAUAAUAAAUUAUAUUUAAAUAUUAUAAAAAAUUCUUUUUAUUAAAUUUAAAUUUAAGUAGAAUUUUAAAAAAAUUUAUAAAUUUAUUAUAAUAAAUUAUUUUUAUUAAUGGUUCCCACCACUAUUCUUAUUUUAAAAUUUUAAAAAUUAAAAAUUUAAAUUUUUAAAAUUUAUAAUUUAUAAUCUCAAAAUUAAAGUUUAAAAUUUAAAUUGAGUAAAUUAUAUAAUUGUAAAUUUAAAUUUUGAUAUUUUAAAUUUUUGAAAUUUAAAUUUGAUAUUUUAUAUUUUUUAAAUUUAAAUAUGAUCUUAAAUUUAAAGUUUGAAAUUUAAAAUUUAAAAUUUUGAAUUUAAAAUUUGAGAUUUUAAAUUUCAAAGUUAAAAUUUUAAAUUUAGAAAUAUAAAUUUAAAAAUUUAAAAAUUCAAAUUCAAAUAUAAUAAGUGGAUAAUUCAUUAUUUUUUAUUUACAAAACCCUUAUCUUUCUUAUUCCAUCUUACCUAACAACGCUAUUUUUUUUAUUUCAGGAAUAAUCCAAUUUUCAUCCAAACGCAAAAUUGAUCUAAUCCUCGCUUAUACCUCAAUUUAUACCUAUCCCUGGAAUAGCACUUUUUCUUAUCCCAACCAAACGAUACCUUAAAAACAUAGAGUUCAAUUCUCUCUCUCUCUCUCUCUCUCUCUCUCCUCUCUCUGUAUAUAUAUAUAUACAUAUAUAUAUAUAACUAUACUAUCGAAAGUAUAAGAGAAUUGAUGUUUCCGAUUUUUUUGCCCUUGGAUCAAGAAUUGUAGGGUCGGAAUGAUAAUGGUUCCCUUCAGGACCCCCUAAGGUUGAGUGGUCCCCUGCAGGUAAUAAUAUUAAUCCAAAGGUUAAAGGAGUUGAUCCAAGGACCAAAAACUGAAAGCAUGAACUCUCUUAUAAUUCCGAAAAUAUAGUAGCUCUACUAUAUAUAUAUAUAUAUAUAUAUAUAUAUAUAUAUAUAUAUAUAUAUAUAGUCCGGCAUGAGUACGAUCGCACUCGUACUCAUAAGUCAUUUUCGAUGAUAGAGCUUCCGAAUCGACAAUUCAUGCCAUUAAACGUUAUCUAGAGCAUGUAAAACUUUUAGAUAUCAAAUUUUAUAAUUUUUUGACAUCAUUUACCUUACGAUCAAAAUGUCACAAAAUUGACAAUUUUUAACGGUCGGUAUGGAAUACAUGGUUGUUUAACGGUGUAAAAAAAUCGGAAUCAGUUGAAUUUUUGAUAGAAAAUUGUAUUCACUAUCUAAAUAAAGAUAAAUAACUUCGAUCUUAAAUUGAAGGAUCCGAUCAUCUACUUUUAGGAUGUCGUUCGAUUUCGACCGUUUAUUUUAUACCUACUUGAUGGACUUUAUUAUGAUUUUAAAAAAUUACGAAAUUUAUUUUCUAGAAGUUUCAAAUAUUCUAGAACAUAUUUAACGGAGUGGAUUAUCGAUUCGGAAUCUCCAUCAUCGAAAAUAACUUAUGAGUACGAAGGGCCCAAUACUCAUAAGAGUAUAGCAGCCCUACUAUAUACAUAUAUAUAUAUAUAUAUUACAAAUUUGGAUUUUAGGCGAACUCAAAUGGAAAGAGAUAUAUAUAUUACAAAGUUUUUACUAUUUAAAUUUUAAGCCUACCCAAAUGCAAAGAGAUAGAUAUUUUGCAAAUUUUAAUUAUUAGAUUAAAAUUUUAAUUUUGUUAAUUGAUUUUAACUUUCCAUCUAGUAAUAAGACUGACAAUCUAAUUUGCUGUCUACAAGCCAACUCGUGUUCGGCUCAUCAAUAAAUAAGCCGAGCACGAGCUGAAUUUUUUAGCUUCAUAUUUUAACAGAAGAGCUCGUUUUCGGUUCUUUAAUAACCGUUUGUGUUCUGCAAGUUGCAGACAGCCCUUAAUUUUGAGUCCUACUAACGCAUCAAUUAUUUCUGCAAAGCGCAGGUCAAGUGUACGUGCAUGGGGUAGUAAAAAGCAUAUUGCUUACUUUCUCUUGAAUUACUAGAUUACCUUUGGGCGGGUCCGGCGUGAAGAGCUUCUUGAUGGCCACGUUGUCGAGGAUGGGCCCGCAGGUGGGGUCCUCCUCCAUGCCGGGGUUCCGGAACGCCAGCCGCGCCGCGCCGUCGUCCGCCGCCUGGAACGCCCACGCGUACGCGUCCCACCCCUCGACGCUGUACAGCGUCUGCAGGUCCACCGCCGACGACGCCGCCGUCGUGCCGCCCACGCCCGAGACCGACACGUUCAGCGUCUCGAGCUGCGCGCACGUCCGCGCGGCGCUGAACGUGACCGAGUACUCCGCGCCCUUCUCCACCGCCACGCUCUGCGCGAUCUCCGCCUCGUUCCCCAGCCGCACCGCGUGCUCACCUGGAAUUCAAAAUGCUUUGCUUACAAAUAAAUCUUACAGUAUUUUACAAUCUAUGUAAUUCAUUAUUACCUCCUCGUGAUUUGCGCAAGACCGCACAUAUAUGCUAGUUUGUAGGGUGUUACAAAAUUUAUUUGUAGGUAUAGCAUUCAUUACUCUUUAGCACACUUGUUUUUUGCCUUUUUUUUUUUUCUCUUUUCUUAUACUUUGGAGACAAGGAUACCAAGCUACUAGAUUUUUUUUUUUUUUUUCUUAGGUAGAAAUGAUUUCAACUGCACACGUAAAACAAUUAGGCUUCCAACUGGAGCUCUUUUUCUUCAAUCCCCUCCUCAAAAGUGAAAAUUUCAUAACUACUCCUUUAAAGUGUAAAAUAUUAUUGGUGUCGUUCUCUCUCUCUCUCUCUCUCUCUCUCUAUAUAUAUAUAUAUAUAAAAAGCUAGGCUCCUAUACUUUCGAAAGUACGGAGGCCUCCGUACUUAUAAGUUGUUUUCGAUGAUGGAACGUCUAAUUCGGCAAUCGGUUUCGCUAGAUAUAAUCUACGCUAUUAGAACUAUCUAGAAACCAAAUUUCAUAAUUUUUUAACUUCGUUUACCUAGUGAACGAGUAGUCUCAAAAUGAAUGGUUGAAAAUAAAAAUCUUAUAAAAAACAGUGAUAAAGAACUCAAAUUUCAAAUCGAAAGUAUUGUUCUUACUCUGGAUGUUAAGUAGAAUUUUCUAUUAAAGUUUCACGUAAUUUGGAUACUUCUACACCGUUGAACUUAAAAACGUGCCACAUCGGCCGUUAAAAUAGUCAUUGUUGAGACCCUUUGAUCGCUUGGUAAAUGAAGUCGAAAAAUUAUAAAAUUUGGUUUCUAGAUAGUUCCAAUAACAUAGAUUAUGCCUAGCGGAGCCGAUCGUCGAAUCGGAUGUCCUAUCUUCGAAAACAACUUACAAGUACAGAGGCCUCCCGUACUUUCGAAAGCAUAGGAGCCUAGCUCUAUAUAUAUAUAUAUAUAUAUAUAUAUAUAUAUAUAUAUAGCAGGGCUGCUGUACUCUCAGGAGCACGGAGGCCUCAAGGCACGGAGGCCUCCGUGCUCCUGAGCCGUUUUCGAUGAUGAAUUUUCGAAUCGACGAUCGGCUCCGUUAAACUUGAUCUAGCGCAUUUGAAGUUUCUAAAAAAUAACUUUUGCGAUUUUUCGAUAUCAUUUACCUAGUGAUCGAAAGGAUUCAAAUCUAUAAUUUUUAAUGGUUGAUAUCUGCCGUUUUCAAGUUUAACGUGUAGAAGUAUUCAAAUCAGAUGAAAUUUUGAUAGAAAAUUCUUUAUACUAGCUACAACAAGAUCUAUAUUUCUAAUCGAAAAUUUUAGUGCUAUAUCACCACUUUUUAUGAUUUUUAUUUUCAGCCAUUAAAAAUUAUAGAUUUUGAAUCCUUUCGAUCACUAGGUAAAUGAUAUCGAAAAAUCGCAAAAAUUAUUUUCUAGAAACUUCAAAUGCGCUAGAUCAAGUCUAACGGAGCUGAUCGUCGAUUCGAAAAUUCCAUCAUCGAAAACGGCUCAGGAGCACGGAGGCCUCCGUGCUCCUGAGAGCACAGCAGCCCUGCUCCUAUAUUAUUAUAUAUAUAUAUAUAUAUAUAUAUAUAUAAGGGUUUAGAAUUUAAGAGAGGGUUAUGUUUGA
rnacentral:lncRNA from 1 species